CGGAUAUGGAUCGAGCAUUCGUAUAAAAUGUAAUACUGCCAUCAUGCGGCGUAAUAAAUCUCUUCGUCUUGGGUCUUGAUUGCUACUAUAAUAAGCAUCGUCACCAUGCCUUCCCACAAGACAUUCAAAAUCAAGCAGAAGCUUGCUAAGAAGCAGAAGCAGAACCGUCCCAUUCCACAGUGGGUGCGUCUCAGGACUGGUAACAGGAUUCGCUACAACGCCAAGAGACGUCACUGGAAGCGAACGAAGCUCAACUUCUAGGAUGUUCCGGUCGGCAUACUGUUCUUCCUCUUCACAUGAACAAACUGAAAGCAUUGUCGAAAAGCUCUAUGUUACCAUGGCAACCAUCUCUUUGAAUCUCGUAUGAAAAGAACAGGACUCGACGAUGCAAGGCAUAGAUUUCUGUAACCCAAACUUUGCAGAUAAUGAAGAUCACUGUUGCAAGAUGGUAUGACAUUACACCCCUGGUUAUUCGCUCGUUCUUUCUCUUCAUCAUCAUCAUCGUGAAAUCAUCAUCACUGGGACCUUCCAGCGCUGGAAACCCGGAUUGUAAUCAGGAAUGUCUAUUGGAAUUCCAGUCCUGCGUGACGUGGUCAUGUUUGUCAAAUAAAUGUUUGUUUGUAUGAAGAGGA